GAUGAACGCUGGCGGCGUGCCUAACACAUGCAAGUCGAGCGGGAUGCCAUUGAAUUGUACCUUCGGGUACAAGCCGAUGGUACUCUAGCGGCGGACGGGUGAGUAUCGCGUGGGCAAUCUGCCUCUAGGUGGGGAAUAACCGUGAGAAAUCACGACUAAUACCGCAUAACACACGCUCUCGCAUGGGAGUGUGUUAAAAGAUUUAUCGCCAAGAGAUGAGCCCGCGUCUGAUUAGCUAGUUGGUAGGGUAACGGCCUACCAAGGCGACGAUCAGUAGCCGGCCUGAGAGGGUGAACGGCCACACUGGGACUGAGACACGGCCCAGACUCCUACGGGAGGCAGCAGUGGGGAAUAUUGCACAAUGGGCGCAAGCCUGAUGCAGCAACGCCGCGUGAAGGAUGAAGGGUUUCGGCUCGUAAACUUCUAUCGAUCGGGAAGAAAAAAAUGACGGUACCGAUGUAAGAAGCCCCGGCUAACUACGUGCCAGCAGCCGCGGUAAUACGUAGGGGGCAAGCGUUAUCCGGAAUUACUGGGUGUAAAGGGUGAGUAGGCGGUUUUCUAAGCCAUAUGUGAAAGCUACGGGCUUAACCCGUAAAUUGCAUAAGGAACUGGGGAACUAGAGUUAUGGAGAGGUAAGCGGAAUUCCUAGUGUAGCGGUGAAAUGCGUAGAUAUUAGGAGGAACACCAGUGGCGAAGGCGGCUUACUGGACAUUAACUGACGCUGAGGCACGAAAGCGUGG
rnacentral:rRNA from 1 species